AUGGCCAUAAGCGGUAGUACGGCUCUGGUUCCGCGCUGGUACCGCCUCAACUCGAGGCGUUGUUUUCUCGUGUCGGGUUCAGUGGCAGUAGGAACGGCAGUACCGCUCAUGUGCGGUAGUACUGCGGCUACCAUCGCCCCUAGUGCCGCUCAAUGGCCCUCCUCCCUGUUCCUUCUCCAUGUGCUUUUGGUAGGCGAUGUGCGCGGUCCCAGCGGUAGUACCGUUGGGCCAAGCGGCAGUACCGCUUCGGCCAACGGUAGUACCACUAGCUCCAGCGGUACUGCCGCUCAUACGGCUCUGCCUCGCACUCUGUUUCGCUCCGCUCUCCGUGUUCUACCGCCCGGGCGGUACUACCGCUCCCCUGAGCGGUAG
rnacentral:rRNA from 1 species